AACGCACAUUGCGCCCCUCGGUACUCCGGGGGGCAUGCCUGUUCGAGCGUCAUUGCACCCCUCAAGCGUAGCUUGGUACUGAGGCCUCGCCCCCGCCCUGGGGCGGCCCCGAAAAUCAGUGGCGGUCCGGUGUGACUUCAAGCGUAGUAAAAAUUCUCCCGCUUUGAAGGCUCGCGCUCGGGACCCGCCAGAACGUCCACUUUUUCAAUGAUUGACCUCGGAUCAGGUAGGGAUACCCGCUGAACUUAA
rnacentral:misc_RNA from 1 species